UGGAUUUGACCAGUUGAAUCAAAAAGAUCAGAUCUGGUCUAAUUUACAGAAAACGAAGACGAAUUGGAAGAUCAGUUGGGUAAAUUUGUCAUCGCUUCGGUCUUUCUAAAGAAAAUAGAGAUAGAUUCAUAGAUUGCAAAAGAA